rnacentral:rRNA from 1 species
GAUGAACGCUGGCGGCGUGCCUAAUACAUGCAAGUCGAGCGAACAGACGAGGAGCUUGCUCCUCUGACGUUAGCGGCGGACGGGUGAGUAACACGUGGAUAACCUACCUAUAAGACUGGGAUAACUUCGGGAAACCGGAGCUAAUACCGGAUAAUAUAUUGAACCGCAUGGUUCAAUAGUGAAAGACGGUUUUGCUGUCACUUAUAGAUGGAUCCGCGCCGCAUUAGCUAGUUGGUAAGGUAACGGCUUACCAAGGCAACGAUGCGUAGCCGACCUGGGAGGGUGAUAGGCCACCCGGGAAGUGAGACACGGUCAAGACGCCUACGGGAGGGCGCAGUAGGGAAUCGUCCGCAAGGGGCGAGAGCCUGACGCAGCAAGCCCGCGUGAGUGAUAAAGGUCUUCGGUUGGUAAAACUCGAUUACUGGGGAAAAACAAAUGUGUAAGGAAAUAUACCGGUAUUGACGGUACCUAAUCAAAAAGCAACGGCUAACUACGUG